GAAUUUUGGACAAUGGGGGCAACCCUGAUCCAGCCAUCCCGCGUGUGCGAUGAAGGCCUUCGGGUUGUAAAGCACUUUUGGCAGGGAAGAAACGGCUCUGGCUAAUACCUGGAGCUGCUGACGAUACCUGCAGAAUAAGCACCGGCUAACUACGUGCCCACAGCCGCGGUAACAAGGAGGGUGCAAUCGUUAAUCGGAAUUACUGGGCGUAAAGCGUGCGCAGGCGGUUCGGCAAGAAGGAUGUUAAAUCCCAGGGCUUAACCUUGGAACUGCAUUCUUAACUGCCGGGCUAGAGUAUGUCAGAGGGGGGUAGAAUUCCGCGUGUAGCAGUGAAAUGCGUAGAGAUGCGGAGGAAUACCGAUGGCGAAGGCAGCCCCCUGGGAUAAUACUGACGCUCAUGCACGAAAGCGUGGGGAGCAAAC
rnacentral:rRNA from 1 species